AACGAACGCUGGCGGCAUGCCUAACACAUGCAAGUCGAACGAGACCUUCGGGUCUAGUGGCGCACGGGUGCGUAACGCGUGGGAACCUGCCCUUACGUUCGGAAUAACUCCCCGAAAGGGGUGCUAAUACCGGAUAAUGUCUUCGGACCAAAGAUUUAUCGCCUUUGGAUGGGCCCGCGUUGGAUUAGCUAGUUGGUAGGGUAAAAGCCUACCAAGGCGACGAUCCAUAGCUGGUCUGAGAGGAUGAUCAGCCACACUGGGACUGAGACACGGCCCAGACUCCUACGGGAGGCAGCAGUGGGGAAUAUUGGACAAUGGGCGAAAGCCUGAUCCAGCAAUGCCGCGUGAGUGAUGAAGGCCUUAGGGUUGUAAAGCUCUUUUACCCGGGAUGAUAAUGACAGUACCGGGAGAAUAAGCUCCGGCUAACUCCGUG
rnacentral:rRNA from 1 species